GCAAGGUUAACCGUAUAGGGGAGCCGCAGGGAAACCGAGUCUUAACCGGGCGUUAAGUUGCAGGGUAUAGACCCGAAACCCGGUGAUCUAGCCAUGGGCAGGUUGAAGGUUGGGUAACACUAACUGGAGGACCGAACCGACUAAUGUUGAAAAAUUAGCGGAUGACCUGUGGCUGGGGGUGAAAGGCCAAUCAAACCGGGAGAUAGCUGGUUCUCCCCGAAAGCUAUUUAGGUAGCGCCUCGUGAAUUCAUCUCCGGGGGUAGAGCACUGUUUCGGCCAGGGGGCCAUCCCGGCUUACCAACCCGAUGCAAACUGCGAAUACCGGAGAAUGUUAUCACGGGAGACACACGGCGGGUGCUAACGUCCGUCGUGAAGAGGGAAACAACCCAGACCGCCAGCUAAGGUCCCAAAGUCAUGGUUAAGUGGGAAACGAUGUGGGAAGGCCCAGACAGCCAGGAUGUUGGCUUAGAAGCAGCCAUCAUUUAAAGAAAGCGUAAUAGCUCACUGGUCGAGUCGGCCUGCGCGGAAGAUGUAACGGGGCUAAACCAU
rnacentral:rRNA from 1 species